rnacentral:lncRNA from 1 species
CACGUACUGGGCAGGCGACUGUUGGCUGUCAGUUUUAUAAGAACGACAUCACAUCUACAUAGCUGUGAUGUCUAUUGCCACACUAUCUCGGGAUUACUUGCAUUUUCCUUUCGUACGAGUGUUUAUCAUUUCAAUCAUAUAACACUUGUGUGUUUUGAAUAGUGAAUUUUAUGUCGGCCAGUUUUAUUUUGUAUGACUUAUAAGAUGCUUGGUCAUUUUUUGACAGAUAUACAUUUCAAAUAUCUUGGUUGUUAAAUGUAUGAGUCUACACAUAUAUAUUUUUUAAGAAUGGAUUGUAGCCAUCAAUAAGUGAUUUUUUUUUUUAAUUUAUAAUUUUCUUUAUAGUUUCAGGACAAUUCAGCAAUUUUGCAAUCCUCCUAGCGCCAUACAUGUAAUUAGCAGAUGAAAGGAGAUAUUAGGCAUGCCCUUGACGGACUCUGACUGACUUUAUCUAUGAGUAUCGCCUUAGGAGGAUGGGGAACCAUGGUCCAUCUUAGCCUCGGCCACAGAGUGAGCAGGUUGGCUGUGCAGAGAGGAUAGGCUCUAUCUACGGGUUUGUUUUUUUGAUUUUUCACCUCCUCUCCCCGCCCUGCCUUCUUUUGUGGUUCAAUAGCUGGAUAUCCACGGGCAAGGAUCUUUCAGUCCUUGCCUGAACUGCAACAGAGCUGACUGGAUCUCCGGAGGAACAGUCGUAUGCAGCAAUACCAAAUUCAUCUUCAAAGCCAGACCAGCGGGCCCAGGAGCUCCAGAGUCAGAAUGAAGAAAAGAUCUUGCUGCUACCUGCGGAGUUAUCUAACAUGGCUGCCUCAAUCAGCAGAUUUACCAGAUGAUGUCAUUUUCAUCCAAGCAGACGGGUCAGCAGGAAGAAGAAGACAGACAGAAAGAGAGACAAUUGCCUACCCUGAAGCUGGCGUUGAACAAUCUGCCGACUGGUCAAAAACUUGUGAAGCCGAGAACAGUUUUUGCAGGAAAGGCUUGUAUGAGCGAGUGCAGGCUUGCAGAGCUGAGGAUCCAACUUGCAGGGGGCCAAGAGUGGCAGCCAUUGCCAGCAGGGAUGUUUUGUCUAAAUGAAGUACGAGGUGGAGGUUUUUGUUCGCGGUCAGAUGAGCUUGUGUCCACACCAUGCUGUCCUGUAACCGGUUGGUCCCGCGCCGCGACUGGGAUCUCUUUGCACUUUCACGCUGCUGUAUAUCGACCGGGCCUCAGUGACACCACGGAUGCUGGAGACCUGCUCAGUGCUCUGUUCCCUGACUGUGUGAGGAGCUGUGAUUGGUCGAGCAAAGAGCCCGAAGAAGAGGACACGAGUCACUGCCAGCCUUUCAGAGCCUGUGUCUUCCCAGCAGCCAUGACUAGAGUUUCUACUUCCUACCAUCACUUUGAUGACUCACAUUCCAACAGUCAUAUCCCAUGGACAUUUAUGAAUGACAAGAAUUUAAAACACAUUUAAGGGGAUUUUUUUGUGAAAUAUUUUAGAAUGUGGUAAAAAGAAUGUAUGAAAGCUGAAAACAUGUAUUUAUGUCAUUCAAGAAAUUAUUUUUGUUACUUAUACUUUUUGAGUUCACUGUCUCAUUUAAGAAUUUAACUUACAUGUGUUGUUUCUUUUAGUUUCUUUAGAAUUAUUACACUCUCAGAAUAUAUAUUAUAUAAAUGAUUAGAAAUUGUAACAGUGUAGGGUGAAACAUUAUUUUGUAUCGUGCUAUUAAUUGUUAUUCUUUAGAAUGUCCUGAAUCACAAUAGUGUUUUAAUUUCAUAGAUUUUUACUGAAUGUAAGUUGAACACACGAGCUGAAAGGAAUAUGAAUCUAUUUUUCAUGAUGAAGUUUUUUUAUAUUGAUUUCUGCACAAGGAAAGUAGAGCUUGUGGUGUUUUGAGUCACUUACAGUAACUAUAUUCAUAGACCCCACAAGCCAGUGUAGCCAACGUCUUAAUGAAUAUGGGCAGAUAGACAAAAAAUUGCAGCCAAAUAAAAGUAUAAUAAAGGCAUCUAAAUCCUAACAAGCCUGCCUUUGUUCUUCCACUCCACCCACCACAAGUUGGCCGUGUGAAAGCAGGCGUUGUUGCGGCUUUGAGGGCAGCUCUGAGAGUUCCAUGCCCACCGGCCUUCAAUCACAUGGGAUGUCUGAGUUUGACAGUAUAAAGUCUUUCUUCUAGAACAAAAUAAGGCCCCUAAGCAAUAGUGGAUGAGCUCUUAGUAACCAUCCAGUCCACGGGGAGGUAGACCAAGCAUGGUAGUACAGCACACACAAAGUGUUGGUUAGGGAUGAGACAAUGGACCAGUGGAAACAUCACUGGAUGCUGCACCGCUCGUAAAUGUCUUACAUUUACUCACAGAACUAAAGGAUAUCUCGUUUUGUUUUUUGCACAAAAAUUCAGUUUUGCCAAAUAAAAACCAGAACAACAGUUUACUAAAUACCAGUUAAGUAAAGUUUUAGUAAUCCGUAUGGAUAAACUGAAAGGGAAAUAAUUAUUUUAUUUUCUAAACACUUGAUAUAAGAGAUACCCAAAGCAUCUUUCACUUCACAGAGGUUGUAUUGGAUUGUAGUGACGCUCUUCUACAAUGGAUUUCAUUUUGUACAUUUGUUUGUGCCCAUCUUGAACUUUUUAGAGGGCAUCAGAGAGGAUAAACCGCGAACGUACACACAAGCUUCCGUGUUCACUCACUGGCAGCGCGUAAGGAUUAAUUCCAGCCUUACAGGAAGAAGACACCACCGCUUCCUGGCCUGGCCAAAUCAAUAGGCAACAUUCUUUCUAGCAUAGCAGUCAAUACACAACACUUAAGGUGUCUGACGGAGCUAAAGAACACCAAUAAUUGUUAUUAAUGCCUCAGAUAUCCCCAAGCAUUGCGUUUAGACGCAAUAAAGACUCCUUCGGCUCGAGUCAAGUGUGUUUGGAAAUUGGAAGGUUAACACAAAAAAUAGUGACCGAUAUAUUAUGGUUUCUUUCCAAAUCCCUUGUAUGAUGUUGACGUUCUGAAGAAAUUGAAGCCACAGUAUUGGAGUGACCGUAGGGAUGGUGAUGUCAACAUGGUGGAUGAGCAUUAAAAUUUCACACAGACAUUGUGGUUGACUUUUUUUCUGCGUGUUUUUACUGGAAUUUCUAAACAACUGAAUUUGAUUCAGUCCCAGAUAAUAAAUAACUUUGGUGCCUACACUUAAUUUAUCCAAUAGUAGUCCAAUAAGCUAGAGUAAAAUGGUGAACAUUGUAAAUAUUAUACCUGGUAAAGAUCCACAUGUUAGCAUUGUUAUCGUCAGUGUUUGAGACGCGUGCUGAUAUUGUUCAGCUUUUGACAUUAAACUUCGACGGAAACAUGCGGCACAUGACAAAGUUUCAUUGAAGAAUCAACCCACCGUGAAGUCACCUAUUGGUUUGUGAACUGCCAAUUUGAAUUCGGCACUUUGGCCAGCGCCAUCUUGAUUUUCCUGGAAAACAGAAGUAACCACAUUUGGAGGAGGAGGGGUGUGAGUCUGUCCACUGCACGUUCACCCACACCUGCCUGACAUUGUAUCAACGCCCCAAUGUAAACCAUGCUUUAUCAUCUGUUUCACUCUAAAUCGGACCGUAAUUUACAAGAAUGCUGAAAUAGCAACUGAGAAUAUAAACUUCGGGAACAUGUUAAAUGACGUUAUUAAUCAAGUGAGCAGUAAAGUCAUUUUAUCAUAGAUCUUCUACCCAUAGAUUUAAUCUAUAGAUGGUUAUCUUUCUGGAACCAGUCGAGUCGCCCUCUGCUGGUCAUUUGAGAGAAUACAGGUUUUAGGCACACAGUAUUGGCUUCACUCUCCGGACCAUUCUUCUACACAGUCGAUGGUCCUUUCCAAAAAGAAAUGUUGAUUUUGGGCAUUUUUACCAGGUGAUUCUCCCUGUACUCAAAAGAGCAUUAUAAAAAGAAGCGAUUCAGUUUGCUGAAUGAAAUAAAUUAUUGAAACAAGGCGCCCUCACAUGUUGCAACGGGGACACGGCACACAAACAGGCUUUAAGUGCACCAAUCUGCGGUGGCUAUUACACAUCGCACACAAAGCCACUUUAUCAGUGCGAGCAGUUACCAAGUGAAGGACAGCUAACAACAAGCAUAUACCUCGCUUCCAUCAUAAACCACAUGUGGGUUCAGAACUGGUGAAGGUAACAAAAGACGAGCGCGUGUGCGCAUGUGUGUGUGUGUGUGUGUUCGGAGGAGGGCAUUCUAAAUUCAAUCAAGUGAAGGCCAUCUCCAGCAGGGUAACAGGGAGCGGAGGGGGGGAAGAUGAGGGGAAACUCAACUGAAGUUUCCACUGGGCCUGCUGUGCUCCUAAUGCAGCCUUGGAUGUAAUUGGGUCCCAGAAGGCUGUUCAUUAUCAGGGGUGAGCGAGGCAACAAAACAGAAAAGUCGCAGAAAGAGAAUGAAAGUGCCUCAUUCUCUGCUCGCUGCCUCCGUCCCGGCACCAUUAUGGGACAAGAGUUAAUUAAAAGAGCAGUUGAUGCUGCUGUUUUCCUCAUCAAUCUCACUUCGGCUCUUAUUAAGUUUGUAA